rnacentral:rRNA from 1 species
ACGGAGGAUGCAAGCGUUAUUCGGAUUUAUUGGGCUUAAAGGGCGCGCAGGCGGAAUGAUAAGUCAGUGGUGAAAUCCCAGGGCUCAACUCUAGAACUGCGAUUGAAACCAUUGUUCUUGAGAACACUAGGAGAUCGGGGAAUGUGCAGUGUAGCGGUGAAAUGCGUAGAUAUGGGGCAGAACACCGAUCGCGAAGGCGCCGAUCUGGAUGGUAUCUGACGCUCAGGCGCGAAAGCGUGGGUAUCAAACAG